GCGGAACUCACGGUGUAGGGGUGAAAUCCGUUGAUAUCGUGGGGAACACCAAAGGCGAAGGCAGCUUGCUGGGGCACAACUGACCCUGAAACACGAAAGCGUGGGGAUCAAAAAGGAUUAAGAGUGGCCACAAACAAGGAUACGAUGUAAAAAAUCGUAGGUGGCGCUAGUCCCCAUGCGCAGAGAUAUGCGCAUGGUUAAAAAAUUCAACUAUAUGCUGGAAAAUCCGAGUAUCUUUAAGUACUGCGAUUUAUCGCAGUGAAAAUCUUAAAGUGCGGACAAUCAGCAGGAAACUUCAAAAAGAACUAUUACUAAGAAAGGAGUGAAAACUAAUGCGUAAAAUAAAGAAGAGACCAAAGCGGAAGAUGAGACAGAAAAUGGAACGUACGGAAAGCAUUGAGAAUAGAUUCUCAAUAUAUUUUCAAGCUUGGGAUUCCAUACUCAAAGCGCUAAAGCCGCAAAAGGAACCAAAAGGCGGCUAUGUACGCAGUUCAGAAUACGAUCAUUGGUAAAGUUUUUAUUGAAGAAUCCUCAGAGACUAUACGUUGAACACAAGUUAAAUAAAUGGGCGAACGAGUUAAAACUUUAGUAGCCCAAGUAUUUUUCUUAUGAUGAUAUAGUCCGAACUCGCCAGCGAUGGCGAGAGACCGGCAGAAAUGUCCGGUCCAACUCAAGAACCCGCCAAAAGCUAACGCAUUUAGGCGGGCAAGUCGGUGCUAAUUUUUGGAAAAAAAAGAGGUUAUUUGUUUGACCUCUGAUUGAGAUAUGUCUUUAGCCAGAAUUUCCAGUUGAUCAUGACAUAGAAAACCAAUACGACAAGGAUGGCCUUACCUACUAUAAUGGGAAAUUCAUACAUAUAUUGUCCUCCUUCUGAUUAAAGUCUAGCAUAGAGACAUAUUUUUAUCAAGCUCUAAUCUUGACCCCGCAAAAAAGAGCGGGGCAGGCUCCAAAAAUUAGCACCGAUUAUCAAAUCUUGAGCACUUGGGUGUCCGACACCCAAGUUAGUAACAAAAUGUAGAUACCCUUGUAGUCCACGCCCUAAACGAUGAUGACUAGCCAUUGGAAGUAUCGACCCUUCGAGUGGCGAAGCUAACGCGUUAAGUCAUCCGCCUGGGAAGUACGAACGCAAGUUUAAAACUCAAAGGAAUAGACGGGGACUCGCACAAGCGGUGGAGCAUGUGGUUCAAUUCGAUGGUAAACGAAAAACCUCACCAGGGCUUGAAAUUCCGACGAUAAGUCCCGUGAAAGCGGGAUGUCUCACAAGGACGUCGGAACAGGUGCUGCAUGGCUGUCGUCAGUUCGUGGCUUGAGCUGUUCCCUUAAGUGGGGUAACGAACGCAACCCCUGCCCCGUGUUAUACGUGUCACGGGGGACUACUCUGAUUUUCGGAGGGGAAGGUGGGGAUGACGCCAAGUCAGCAUGGCCCUCUGAUGCCCUGGGCUACACACGUGCUACAAUGGGACGUACAAUGGGCCGCAAUACCGAGAGGUGGAGCUAAUCCCUUAAAACGUCCCCCAGUUCAGAUUGAGGUCUGCAACUCGACCUCAUGAAGACGGAAUCGCUAGUAAUCGCAGGUCAGCUAUACUGCGGUGAAUACGUUCUCGAGUCUUGUACUCAC
rnacentral:rRNA from 1 species